GGGCGGAUGGUUUAGUGGUAUAAUACUCCCUUAGCAAGCCUUCAUUUGGAGACUAAGCAUGGGAGUGGUCCGGGGUUCGAUUCCCCGUCUGUCCA